ACGAGUUUGAUCAUGGCUCAGAACGAACGCUGGCGGCAGGCCUAACACAUGCAAGUCGAGCGCCCCGCAAGGGGAGCGGCGGACGGGUGAGUAACGCGUGGGAACGUACCCUUUGCUACGGAAUAGCCUCGGGAAACUGGGAGUAAUACCGUAUGUGCCCUUCGGGGGAAAGAUUUAUCGGCAAAGGAUCGGCCCGCGUUGGAUUAGGUAGUUGGUGGGGUAAUGGCCUACCAAGCCGACGAUCCAUAGCUGGUUUGAGAGGAUGAUCAGCCACACUGGGACUGAGACACGGCCCAGACUCCUACGGGAGGCAGCAGUGGGGAAUCUUAGACAAUGGGCGCAAGCCUGAUCUAGCCAUGCCGCGUGAGCGAUGAAGGCCUUAGGGUUGUAAAGCUCUUUCAGUGGGGAAGAUAAUGACUGUACCCACAGAAGAAGCCCCGGCUAACUCCGUG
rnacentral:rRNA from 1 species